rnacentral:RNase_P_RNA from 1 species
UGAGCAGGCCGGAUGGCUGCGCGCGGCGUGCGCCGUGUGAGGAAAGUCCGGGCUCCACAGGGCAAGGGCGCCGGGUAACACCCGGCGGAGGCGACUCCAGGGAAAGUGCAACAGAAAUAGACCGCCGGCAGUUUGCCGGUAAGGGUGGAAAGGGGAGGUAAGAGCUCACCGACGCUGUGGCGACACAGCGUGCCAUGUAAACCCCGUCCGGUGCAAGAUUGAAUUGGGGACACUUGCGGCAAAAGCCGCAGAAAUAGCGGCCCGCUAAGUCCUUUGUAAUCGCAUGAACCCGUUUGGUAACAUCGGGUCAAGAUAGAUGGCCAUCAUGACAGAACCCGGCUUACCGCCUGACUCAAAAC